UUUGUAUUUGAAUCAUAUAUAUCCCGAGGGUUCCCAGAAGUUUCCAAAGGAGCUCCAGCACAAGUUGAACGGGAGGGCCCCUACAGGCCCAUUUCCAUGCAUCUUCCAUGGGUUAUAACCUCCCAUAUAGACUCUCCAUUGCACUUUAUUACAAGUAAAAUUUCAAUUCUGGCAAUGGUAAGAAAGAGGUCAAGUCAAGAAAAUGGGCUGAAGGUAAUAGGAUUUAGAACUCAAGACUGCCUGGAAAGAACGUUCUUGCAGAAGAGAAAGCACCAACCCAUGAAAUCAUGGAUCUCUGAAGAUACAAUUGAGGAGGAGGAAGAAAAAAAGGAGAGAGAUAAAGCAGGAAAAGAAGAGAGAGAAGGAAGAGGAAGAGGAGGAACUUUUGGAUAUGGUAAGUACACUGAAUCCUCCUUUCGUUUUCUCUAUAAAAAUAAGAAAUAAAGGAAACAAAAUGGUUCUGCCUCUGAAGAGAAAAAUUCCUCUUUUGACUCAGAUUCAAGAAGUCUGAGGAGCACUGCUCUAGAGCCUUCCACUAGGAAAAGCCGGAAUAAGCACACGGACUGUAUCCAAAGAGAGGUCUAUGUUUUAAAGGUUUCCACAAGCAACAAAAACAAUUCUUUCCUUCCUUUCCCCCCUUCCCCCAUCACUGUACCCAAGGCCAUGGCUCAUCCUGGGACUCUGGCCUUAAAUUUCAGUUGCAAAAUAGUUACAUCUCAAAUUCCAAAGUGAGAAGCCACCAAAUGCUGUCUCUUUCCUUGAAAAGCAGGACAGCUGCCCUAGCUGAUAGACUGUACAUUUCCAAGCUACUGCCUGAAGAGCAAAAACAAGACCUUGGUAAAAUUAAAUUAAGUGCCAUUAAGGGUACAUCUAACUUGCUAAAAUUGCAAAGGGUAUAGACAGAAAAUAUGGAAAGAAAGAGAUAUAAAUUUGUGCUUUACACUAAAUCCCCAAAAUACUUCAACUAAGGGGCUGCCUCCCUCCCCCGGGAGUUUGGAAGAGGUAGUUUUAAGGUAAGUGCUCAGCCAACGGAACUUUGGGAAAUUAUGGAACAUUUUAACUGAAAUUUUGACUGAAAAGUCAGUUGGCAAAUGUGUCAUAGGUUAAGGGAUGAGUACUGAGCAGCUGGGGAAGUACAGGGAAAUAUCUAGAGGACAGUGGCAAGGAGAAAGACUUGGAUGGGUCUAAGACAAGUGGAUUUCUGCGUGUAGAUGGACUUUGCUUUCAGUUUCUCUUAGCACAUGGCAGGGCCUUGCAAAAUGACAAAGACAACUGAGAAGACAAGGAAUGUGCCAAUUUUGCUUCAUAUCCCAAGAUCUAGUACAGUGAGCAUAACAUAGUAUUUGCUUAAUAAAUACUGGCUGAUGGAUUGUUUGCAUUAUCCUAGGAGGAUAAAAGGCUGAAAGCACACAGUCAAUAAACUAAACUUUUGUUCUGGAGUUCCCAGUGACUAACCCCUCAGUGUAUCUAUCAGCUGUGGAAAAUGGGCUGAGUAUGCCAUAUCACUUAGCCACAAGGGUAAGUUGAUUAGGUAUCAAAAAGAAAUGAAAAAAAAAAACACUUGUCUUUUGAAAAACUGAAGUUGGUCAAUGCAAUCCCUGUAUGUUCACAUCAGCCUCUUUAGACAACUCCUUAGUUAGACUAGAUAAUUGCUGAGAUCCUUUCUAAUCCUAAAUCCUAAGAGAAGGGGAAGGGAUUGUACAAAUUUUGACAGGUUCAAGGCUAGGGGACAGCAUUCCUGUGAGGUUCAUCCAUUUUCUAUAUUUCCCAGAUGUUUCUGAGUGUUCUUUUUAAGAAGACCUUAUCCCUGGGAGAGCUACUGCUCUGAUCAUAUGGGACUUGGCAGGUAGAACAGCUAACCGCAGCUAUAGCUUGUGAAGAACAACACAAUUAUGUUGGGGCCAUUUGGGUGUUUGAAGCUAAGGUAGUUUCAGUAUUUCUAGUCCUGACUUUUAAAGGCUUUGAUUGUUCUGCUGUAAAGAAUUUUCUUGGAGUAGAAGCUUUUUUUUUUUUUAAAGUGAAUUUUGUUUCUCUGCUAUGGGAGUUUAUACCUUGAAAUUCUGAAAAGGAGGUGGAUAGGGGGUAUUUAACUUGUAAAAUGAAACCGAGAGAGAAAGCUUUAGCUGGAUCCAAUGAACACAAUAAUACUCAUGCAUUGGGAUAACUAAAAAGCUGCUCUGAAUAAAGAAAUUAAAUGUGACUGGUACAUAAGUUCAAAAUGAGAUUGAGUCCUCCAGGCAAUGUAGGAAAAGGAAGAAAAAAAUGACAGGCAGCUGGUACAUUUGCUGACCACUGAGAGCCCAUACAGUAUGGACACAAUCUUUCUGGGAAGUUUAGGGCAGACUGGCUUUGGGUUAGACGGUGAACUCAAAUAGUUGGCCAAGACUUAGUAUUCUGGGAAUUUGGACAAUUUCUUUCUUAUGGGCCUCCUAAGGCUCUAGAAUGAUAUAGAUGGGAGAGACUUAAGAACAAGGAAAUGUUAGAAUGUAGGCUAUAGAAUGACAUGUGUCCAGGUCCUUAGAGGUCUCCUUCAACUCCUUCAUUUGAGGGGAAUGAUCCCUGAGGUGGUUAAAUAACUUGGGCAAAGGCACACCAUGAGUAAGAGGUAAGGCUAGGACUGGCACCCAAAGCUUCUGAUUCCUAAUCCAGGGUUUUAAGGCAAAACACAAGUCUGUUGCCAUAGGGUACUAGUUUGCUGCCAGGGUAAAGAAGGAUGGCUUUGGAGUCGGAGGACCUGGGUCCAAAAUCAGGCUCUGCCACUUCCUCCCUGUAGGGCCUGGUAUAAAUCCCUUAGCCUCUUUGGGCUAAAGUUCCUUUGUCUGUAAAAUGGGAGGUUUGGACGGGGUUACCUUUAAAUACCUUUUAUGAGCUAAGUGAAGACCAUGGAAUGUUUAGAGAAAGGUCUUGAAGGAUUUUACUUUUUUUUUUUUGUCAAAGAGAAAUAAUCAGUGGAAAGAACACUGGAUUUGGGUCUCCCAAAAUUUGGGCUCAUGAUCUUUUUAACUUUUUAACUAGUGACCUUGGACAACUGAUUUAACUCUCUAAGCCUCCAUUUCCUCCCCUGUGAAAUGAGGAUAACUGUCUUCAAGUCCCUGAAAGGCUGUGACAUGAAAGGAAUAGAUUUAUUCUGCUUGGGUGGAAUUCAGAUUUUAUGUAAGGAAAAAAAAACCCCACUUCUUCACUUUGUUGCU